GAUGAACGCUGGCGGCGUGCCUAAUACAUGCAAGUCGAGCGAACGGACGAGAAGCUUGCUUCUCUGAUGUUAGCGGCGGACGGGUGAGUAACACGUGGAUAACCUACCUAUAAGACUGGGAUAACCUCGGGAAACCGGAGCUAAUACCGGAUAAUAUUUUGAACCGCAUGGUUCAAAAGUGAAAGACGGUCUUGCUGUCACUUAUAGAUGGAUCCGCGCUGCAUUAGCUAGUUGGUAAGGUAACGGCUUACCAAGGCAACGAUGCAUAGCCGACCUGAGAGGGUGAUCGGCCACACUGGAACUGAGACACGGUCCAGACUCCUACGGGAGGCAGCAGUAGGGAAUCUUCCGCAAUGGGCGAAAGCCUGACGGAGCAACGCCGCGAGAGUGAUGAAGGUCUUCGGAUCGUAAAACUCUGUUAUUAGGGAAGAACAUAUGUGUAAGUAACUGUGCACAUCUUGACGGUACCUAAUCAGAAAGCCACGGCUAACUACGUG
rnacentral:rRNA from 1 species